GCGGGGUGGGCUAGCCUGGUUUAUGCCGCAGGGCUCAUAACCCUGAGAUCGUUCGUUCAAAGGUUGCACAAUGUU
rnacentral:tRNA from 1 species